AUCGGAGGGGAAGGAGAUUCGCGAAUGCAGCCGGAUACUGCAUCAGGUCCUGUUUCCCGAGGAACAACAGGGACAUGGUUUUCGUUGAAAAUU
rnacentral:sRNA from 1 species